rnacentral:lncRNA from 1 species
CUGCAACCAAGUGCAGAUCAUUUCCACUUACUUUACCAUCUAACUGUGAAGAUUAUUAAGGAAAAGGACUUUUUCUUCUUCUCUCUUCUAACAUGUUAAACUAAGAAGCUUCCCACUGUGAACUACUGGCAUCUUACUUUUUGACCCCUUGACAAGAAGAAUUGGAGUUACCAAAAUGCUGUCAUUUAAGGUGUUGGAGUGGAAACCAGAACAUUACCUAUUAUCAAGAAGGGGUUUCUUCUAAGGCAUUCAUCUUUUCUAUACUGAUUUCAUAAUUUACUAAGUGAGAUAUCUGGUUAUGCUUUAUUUCUCAUUGUUUGUGUGUUUUCUUUUCCCAGGGCACUCAGAAACAUACAUCUAAGGAAAGAUUCACUUAAAAACCAGCCAAGACACGGUCAUAUAAUUGGGAUCUCCAGGGCCCUGAGUAAAGACAGUCGCCUCCCACUUCAUUGUCAGUAAAUCAAACUCUCCACAGAUGGGGCAUUUCCAGGUUUUCCUGUGAGUUUCUUGCACCUACAGAGCCCGGCCAAAUACUACAAUCCU